UGUUAUUGUUCUUGAAUACAGUAUUCAAUUUAUUGCCCUUUGACCUCACUAACAAGCCCUGUACCUCCCUGGACCAAAAUACAUCUCCCUUGCCAUUACUCACCUAAGAGGAUGCCUCACCCUUUAGAAUGUAAGAUCCUUGAAGAUAGUUAGUCAAGAGAAGACAAUGCUUAAAACUGAGCACCGGGCCUAAACUGAAGUGCCUUGAGGAGUAGGUGAAAGAUGCUACAACAAAGAACAUCCCUUAUAAUCAUUUAAAUUGAACUUGAUGAUUCCCCUUUAUCAGUGAAGGCAUUCAAGAAUUGUCUUCUUUUGCUUCCAAAACUGUGUGUACUCUGGGAGUGCAGAUUAUUCUGAACACAGUAAAAAUUCUGCUUUACAUUUAUCUAUGGCCUGGAAGGAAAUGCUACAAACAUUGUGCAAUUGGGGGGAGAUGGAGCAACAAGAAAAGAGGAGUUUCAUACAGUCAAAGUAUCACAGAUCAUUGGAGCGGAAAGAAACUUGAAGGGGAAACUCAAGUCCAAGGUCCUCCAAUAAGACAAAAAACAAUUCCACAAGCAAAUAUUUGUUGAAUUGAUUACUUGCUAUGUGCAAAGCACUAUGAGGGUAUUGGGGACAAAGACAAAACAAAAAUAUUCCCUGGCCCCAAGGAGCUUAUGUUCUAUGUAAUUUGAAGAAGGCGAGAGGACUGACAGCUCUGGAGAUCAGAAAAUACUUCCCCAACAAUUGCACGU